AAAUUUUAAUUUAAAAAAAAACAAUUUGAAAAUUAAUUUAUUAGAAAACAAAUAGAUUAAAAACUAUUAUUUACAAAAAUUUAUUUUAUUUUAAAUUAUAUUUUCUAUAAAAAUUCUUAAAAAUAUUUUUUAUAUAUAAAAUCUUAGAUAUUUUACUAUUUUAAUAUUAACUUUAAUUAAUAAUAUAAUAGUCUAAACAUUAAAUUUAAUAUCAAAUUCAAUUGGAAUUUAAAAACUUUUAAAAUUUA